rfam:Trichuris suis scaffold47.4, whole genome shotgun sequence.
CAAACGGCCCUUUUCAGGGCCAUCAAUGCCUUUAACUGCAACAUG